rnacentral:tRNA from 1 species
UGAGCUUGCUCCUAAAGCUAAGGUGUCUAGCUGAUAAUUAGAUUAUUAAGGGUUAAAUUCCCUUCAAGCUCUA